rnacentral:lncRNA from 1 species
AAUCAUAGCUAUGUAGACAUAACAUAAAGCAGCUCAUCACCUGGCUCUCAGCCACUAUUGUUUGUGAGGUGUAUAAAUAUAACACUGAUACUGUGAAAGAGCUGCUGAAUAAAGCCGUGUCUCAUCUACCUGCUGUCUCCCAAGUGUUCUUCCAGCUCCCUGCCCCUCAUCAACCCACUCUCCUCAGACCUCAGCUGGGGCUUGAACCUGAUAAUUGGUGUAGUCAUCAGGAUGAGAUUUAGAAGUGGUGGUGCCCCUCUUGUGACAGCAUUUGGCAGUGUGCAGUUGGGCCAUCAAUAAAUCCAAGGUCCAAGGGCCGGAAUUGUCUGCCAAAUUCUUGGGAGUUAUUUGCUCAGGUAAGACAAAGAUCAUACCUGAGGCCAUCAUUGAUAAGAUCUAGGCAUACCUCCGACCUACCACAGUGAGGCAGCUGCAGACUUUUGGGGGCCUCUUGGAGUAUUGACAGGCAUUUGUGCCCCAUUUGGCUCAAACGAUAAAACCGUUGUACCAGUUAACAAAAAAAGGGGGCUAUUAGGGAUUGGGAUGAUGAGGCUGAAACAGACUUUCUGGCCACAAGUGGGCCAUUUGGCAAGCACAGACCUCACAAGUAAUUGAUCAGGGGCGCCCACUUGAACCUGAUGUACAUGGAACCACAGAUGGUUUUGGUUGGGGCCCAUGGCAGUGCAUGGAGCACUUUAGAACACCAGUAGGCUUUUGGUCCCAGCUGUGGAAGGGAGCUGAGCUCCAGUAUUCAUUAAGAGAGAACUAAUUAGCUGCUGCAUAUGCUACUCUUCAGGCCUGUGAGAGCAUGAUGGGACGGGCUACAGCCAUCGUGUGGAUGACUUACCCAAUAGAGGAGUGGGUAUGUUCAUGGGUAAUGACCCCCUGGACUGGAAUGUUACAGACAUUCGCUUUACAGAAGUGGGGUGCCUACUUGGAGCGGCAGAGUACAAUCCCUUAGCAGCAGAUUGUCCUUAGCAGCAGGUAGUCCUAAUGCAAGAUAAGGCCAUGGGGCCUGAGGCACCCCAGACCCUGAGCCAUCCCAGUUUAAGGAAGGGCAUCCUGCCAUUCCUGAUGGGGCAUGGUAUACAGAUGGGUCCAGCCAAGGUGCUGCUGCUGCCUGGACUGCUAUAGCAGUCCAGCCCAGCACCAACACCAUGUGGGUUGAUACUAGGUGUGGACAAAGCAGCCAAAGGGCUGAACUCAGAGUGGUGGGGAUGGUGAUAACCAGGGAGGAGUCACCUAUGGUACUUUGCACCAAUAGCUGGGCAGUCUAUUGAGGUUUAACCUUGUGGUUGACUACCUGGAAAUUACAGAAUUGGCUUAUUUGACCCCAAAUCAGCCCAUUUGGGGUCAACCAUGAGGCAAGACCUCUGGGAAACAGGUAAUCAGAAUGUGUCAAGCCAUAUGCCUUUGGCUACCCCUGGUAAUGAUGAAACAGACUCCUUGACAAAGGUCCGAUGAUUAGAGUCAGCACCUACACGAGAUGUGUCUCCAGAGGUAUGUCUCCAGAUGGAGACAACUGCCCAAUGUAACACAACAAGUGACAGUAGGGCAGGUGCCCUUGACCAGAUGGCAAUGAGAUUACAUUGGGCCAUUGCCAAAAUCGCAGGGCUACACGUAUACACUGAUGGCUGUAGACACGGCCAUUGGCUUAUUGUUCACCUACCCUUGCAGGGUGGCUGGCCAGCAACACACCAUUUGAGCCCUGCAACACUUAUGUGACUUAUAUGGCCAUCCCCUGGCCAUUGAAAGUGAUAGUGGAACACAUUUUACUGGACAGCAGGACUUAUAUGGCCAUCCCUUGGCCAUUGAAAGUGAUAGUGGAACACAUUUUACUGGACAGCAGGUACAACAGUGGGCACAGCAGAUGGACAUACAAUGGGGGUUCCAUGUUCCUUAUAACCCACAAGCUGCUAGCAUGAUUGAGCAAUAUAAUGGACUCCUGAAGAACGGGUUACAUUUGCAUGUUCCCCACCCCUCCUCCCCACCCAUCUUUGUGGGGCUGGAGUUCCAGGUUGGACCUGGUGCUUCAAAUCUUGAAAAUGUGGCCAUGGAAAGGUGGCCCGGCCCCGGUGGAGGCACUGUUACACCAGGCCACUGCCCCCAUCCAACUACAGAUACACACCAAGGAUGACCUCCUCUGACCAGCCACAGGUUGGCAUGCUCCAACAACAUUGUGGACUGGGCUCACACCUAUGCUGAGGUGGCCAAUGUCUCCAACUGUUAGAUCUGCACCACCCUUCCAGCAGCAGCUGUGGAUGGCUUGCCUUGGCAUGUGCAUCCAGCUUUUGUGAAGAACUGGACAUGGCUAGAAACUUGGGGUCCCACAGACAAUGGGCGGGAUGCAACAUGGUGAGCUUUGGAUGGGGGUGUCACAAAACCCAUGGCAAGCCUGCCCCCUGGCUGACUCAUAGCAUCCAUGAUGAAUGGGGCUGGCUAAUGGGAGAAAACAUGGUGGCCCCAUUGCAAGUACCACGAUGUAUAGAGCAACACUGGGGUAAGGUCACUGUGGGAUGGUUGCCUGCUGAGACCUGUGCAAACGUAACACAUGCCACCAUGCCAAGGAUGUGGUGGAACAAGCAGCCCUACCAAGGCUGGGCCCCCAUGGACUUUGUGCCUGCUGGGAGUUUAUAGGUCUGUGGGGACAUAGGAUGGCCAUAUCUGCCAGCCAACUAGACUGGACAUUGUACCUGGGAGUGGCCUUCUGUGCCUGCCACUGUGCUUCCCACAUUGCUUAGUCACACACAUAACUGGGAGGUGCUGUGUUCCCAGUUUUUGUGAGUGCAUUGAGCCCCUAGUGGUUCUACCCCUUAGCAAUAACUGUCCCUGGAACAGGUGUCAUCACUGUAGAAAUGCAGGUUACAGCCCUUGCAGAACACAGAGAUUGGGCCCAUGAAUUACACCUGAGCUGCCCUCCUUUUGUUAAUUGAUGAGUUUGAUCAGAUCAGGAAGGUGGUGAUGCAAAACCGGAUGGCCUUAGACAUAGUCACAGCUGCUCAAGGUGGCACCUGUGCCCUUGUAGGGACAGAGUGUUGUACAUUCAUCCCUGACAACCACCAGAACAUAGUGGCAGCUUUGCAGGGGGUGUCAUGUCAUAGGAGAUUAAGGCAAUUGAAUACCUUACUGAUGACCGCCUGCAGAGAUGGUGGGUGUCUCUGGGCUCUGGCCUACACUGGGCUCUUAUAAUCAUAGGUAGCAUAGCAGGAAUAUUAGUAGUAGGUUGUUGCUCUCUUUAUUGUUGCUGUGGCCUCUGGGUCCAGGGUGCUCCCCUAUGUGCACGAGUUCCCAUUAAGAGGACCCCCUUGGCCUAGGGGGCGGAGUGUAAGGAACAUGGCUGUGUUGCUGCCAGGCAGGCAUAGGCCGAGGUAAAAAUCCUGCAUGACACAGUGGGAUUAGAGCACACGCGCGCAAUCCUGUGCCUGAUAUAAUCACAGCUAGGUAGACAUAACACAGAGAAGCUCAUCAUUUGGCUCUCAGCCACUAUCAUUUGUGAGGUGUACAAAUGUAACACUGACACUGUGAAAGAGCUGCUGAAUAAAGCCAUGUCUCAUCUACCUGCUCUCUCUCGAGUGUUCUUCCAGCUCCCUGCCCCCCGCCCCAUCUACCCACACCCCUCUGACCUCAGCUGGGGCUUGAAACUGACAUUUGCUUUAUUGUACUUUGCAGAUACUUAAAAAAAAAACCAAAUUAAAGUUUUGUGGCAACCCUGUGUUGAGCAAGC